AACGAACGCUGGCGGCAUGCCUAACACAUGCAAGUCGAACGAGACCUUCGGGUCUAGUGGCGCACGGGUGCGUAACGCGUGGGAACCUGCCCUUAGGUUCGGAAUAACUCCCCGAAAGGGGUGCUAAUACCGGAUAAUGUCUUCGGACCAAAGAUUUAUCGCCUUUGGAUGGGCCCGCGUUGGAUUAGCUAGUUGGUAGGGUAAAAGCCUACCAAGGCGACGAUCCAUAGCUGGUCUGAGAGGAUGAUCAGCCACACUGGGACUGAGACACGGCCCAGACUCCUACGGGAGGCAGCAGAGGGGAAUAUUAGACGAUGAGCGAAAGCCUGAUACAGCAAUGCCGCGUGAGUGAUGAAGGCCUUAGGGUUGUAAAGCUCUUUUACCCGGGAUGAUAAUGACAGUACCGGGAGAAUAAGCUCCGGCUAACUCCGUG
rnacentral:rRNA from 1 species